ACGCGUGAGAAUCUGCCAACAGGACGGGGACAACAGGGGGAAACCGCUGCUAAGACCCGAUAAACCGAAAGGGGAAAAAGAAAUUGCCAGUUGAUGAGCUCGCGUCGGAUUAGCUAGUUGGUAGUGUAAGGGACUACCAAGGCGACGAUCCGUAGCCGGUCUGAGAGGACGAUCGGCCACACUGGGACUGAGACACGGCCCAGACUCCUACGGGAGGCAGCAGUGGGGAAUUUUCCGCAAUGGGCGAAAGCCUGACGGAGCAAGACCGCGUGAGGGAGGAAGGCUCUUGGGUUGUAAACCUCUUUUCUCAAGGAAGAAGAAAUGACGGUACUUGAGGAAUCAGCAUCGGCUAACUCCGUGCCAGCAGCCGCGGUAAUACGGAGGAUGCAAGCGUUAUCCGGAAUGAUUGGGCGUAAAGCGUCCGCAGGUGGCAGUUCAAGUCUGCCGUUAAAGACUCCAGCUUAACUGGAGGAAGGCGGUGGAAACUGAACAGCUAGAGUGCGGUAGGGGCAGAGGGAAUUCCCGGUGUAGCGGUGAAAUGCGUAGAGAUCGGGAAGAACACCAGUGGCGAAAGCGCUCUGCUGGACCGCAACU
rnacentral:rRNA from 1 species